rnacentral:piRNA from 1 species
CGUUUGGAAAGAAAAUUAAAGAGG